AAGACUAUAGACCUGCGGAGUACCUGCGGAGGGAUCAUCAUUGAAAAUUUGCAAGACUUUAUCGGAGUUUUUGCGAAGCAAACAAUUUAUUUAACACCCAAAAAGUUUAAAGUAAGCUUAGGCUGCUUUACUUGACAAAAAUGAGUGGUUGCCUGACUGCAGAAAAAGUGUUUUGGUGUUGGGAAAUUGAAAACAACUUUUAGCAACGGAUCUCU
rnacentral:misc_RNA from 1 species